AGCCCGGUAGUGUAACUGGUAACACCCCGAUUUUUUCUUGGGAGAUAUGGGUUCGACCCCCAUCUGGGCUACUA
rnacentral:tRNA from 1 species